GCCUGCUGCGGUCCUGGCAAGCACCUCGGGAUCCCAUUCCUUCACAGGGACCCUAGCCAGGCAAGCGCGCGCCUCACUGUACCGGAGAGCUCCAAGCACGCGCUUGGUCUGGGGCCCGGACGCUACAUCUGGGAAGGGUUAAAGCUGAUACAUUCCUGUGGGUCAACUAUGCAACUAACUCAGAUUUUGAGCAAACAAAGCUCUCAAGUUGGUGAUCCUCAGGAGUCUCUGCAUUAGUUGGACAGCUCUUCUGGAAUUAUCUUCUAAGUCAACUGUGGGUUGGGUAGGUGGCUCUGCUGAUUUUUCGCUGGACUUCCACAUUUGGGACCAGUUGGCUGUCAUCAGCUCUAGAAAGGGUGUGGCCGUUUUACAUUGGCUGUUUUCCUCACAUUCCUCAAGCAGGUACUGUAGUAAAGAACUGGAGAAAUACAGUCAGAUGGGAAGUAGCCCCUACUGUCAAGGAGCUUGCCAUCUAAUGGGGGAGACAGGCAAGUAAACCAAAGACUACACAGUGCAGUAUGGUAAGUGCCAUGAUUUUGAUGUGACAGGGCACAGUGGACGACCUUCCAAAUCAAAGCAAGUAACUAGGGGUUGACAAUGGUAAGUAUCAUAGUUGAAGUAUCCUUGAACAAGGUUUCAGGAAGAAGAAGAAGGGAAUUUCAUGCAGGGAAACAGCCAAAGCUCAGUGAGUCAAAAUAUCACAGCAUUCUUGGUAAGCCCAAUUUUUUUUUUCUAUUUUGCUAUUUUGG
rnacentral:lncRNA from 1 species